GGUCAUAACCUGCAAUAUAUGCACAGCAAGGAUGAGAUAAUAAACUUCAAUUGGAAGGAACAACUGCUCACUUUGCAUAUUAAACCAGGUGUGAUUGAGCUAUAACCAUCAGCAAAAGUGAGAAUAAAUUUGAUGACUACACUUAAAACUAGUCCAAAGCAUAAAUGCCACAAACCUUACAGAAACUACUAUUAAAAAGCCUCAUAACAAUAACUCAAAACAAUGCAAAGUUUUCACAAUCUGUUCUGAAGACAUAUUUACACAAAAAUAAGAAAAGAAAUUUUAAUCUCAUGAAAUGGAC
rnacentral:misc_RNA from 1 species